GGAUAUUCUGGUUCUCGGAAACUCAGAGGCUCAACUUCCAAUGGCCACGUAGAAAUCACACUACCCCCCGCUAGUUUACUUGAGACGAUCAGAAUUCUACUAAAAAAAUUCUUCCGUGUUCAUCUGAAUCCAGUCAUCGACAUCACUUCACUGCAACUUUCUUCCCUGUUCUGGCCGACGGGAUUUGUGCUGUAGGUUUUGGUGAUCAACAUAUAUGCUUGACGUAUGGUCUGGAUUUACUGAAUUCAACGUCAAUUUGCUCAGAUUUUGGUGGUUAUGGAGAAGAUCUAAAACCCUGUUUCAAUUUCACUUAAAGCUGUGAUUUUUCGUGUUUGGACCCUUGGUAGAUGCUUUAGACGUGGAUUUUAGGUUUUAACGUUUUAGGAACUGGCUAACUUGGAGUGAGUAAAUACUAGUUGACUCAGUGAUUAUGAUGGAAACUCUUCUUCUUGUUGCUCAGCAUCGCAAUCCAACUUUCCAGUCGGAUUUCGGUAUAAGCGCAAACCCGUUAUUGGAUUGUACUACUCCUAUAACUAAGGAAGCAUGUUCUUAUUCGUCGUCACCGAAAACCCCAUUGCCAUUUGUUUAUCCCCAUCACUCUGAGGAAUCUGACCGCUUGAAUGGAUUUAUGACGAUUGGUAGUAUCCCCGUUUCUGUUAACGUCAAAGUGAAUCGUGAUAAGGAGGGUUUUUACGGUGAAUCUCUUUACUCUGAGCUUUGGGCUGGACCAGCGUAUUCCAACUCUCCCGAACCUAGUUCUUUGCCCAUACCCAAAUUCUCACUCCGGCCAAAAAGAAGUGCCUCGCUUAACCUGCCUUCGUCAUCGGCCUCUGAUAUCAGUUUUCACCCCGUGGCCAAGUCUGCUCCCCCUUCCCCUACGAGGGACCGUGCCACCUCUUUUUCUAGAGAUGUGUUUAACAGCGAUGACUCUGCGACUAAGAACCUGCGUCGCAUUCUCAAUCUUGACAUUGAGGACGAAUGAAGUAUGAGGAGCUUCGGGCUCCUGUAAAUAAAAGUAUUUUCCAGACUUUUGUAGUGGUAGAUUGUGUACAUAGAGUGAAUAAAUUACUUGGUAGUGCGACUGUCAAGAACUUAAUUCCAGUGGUUUGUAGUGGUGGGGUAUGAGAAUAGUGAUGGAUGGGUUGGUCGACAAUCUCCAGAUAUAAUGCGGACAUGUGAUGUGUGCUCUGUUUAUGCCUGUCUUCUCAAGGCGUAGUUGGGGUUAUGUGACACUGAUGGCUGCUUGAUGCAAUUGUUUAAUGGCAGAAGGAAAUAAAUGGAUGGGAGUUUGCUAUUUGAAGUGCCUAAUUUGCACAGUCGGUUGUUGGGGGUUGAAGACUUUGAAUGAUUAUCCAUUCGGCUUAACAGGAACUACAGUUAAAUUGAUCAAUGAUAUCAUGAUACCUGGUCUUUCUGUAUUCUCACAGGAUUGUGGUUUUUUCCUCACUUUGUGUAUAUACUGUAGGAUCCUAACUAGAUUACUUACUCAGUUUCUCUAGGACUUUGUUCUGUUCUUGUUACAGUCAUCUUUGGCCCUCAAUUAGGACUCUAGAGUCAGUAUGUUGCUUGUCCGAUAUAGGUGUACUUUUGUUUAAUCUUGCCUGAAUUGGUUUCCCAGACAUUCCUUUGCUUUCUUCUACCUCACAUGUUUCGUUCAAGUAGCUGAAAUAGGCUUGCGUUCAUCUCUUUCUCUUUGGUUGCACCAUUUCUUCUGUUUUCUUCUCGGAGUUGGAUCUGACUCCUAUGACUUCACUCUGAGAGAGUGUUGCUUCCCCUUGACCAUCUUUCCUGUUUUUUGAAAGGGAAAGUAGGAAGGGAAGUAUAGUUAGAUGUCGCUUCUGCUCUUGAGUGUGCAGCUCCCCUUUGGUAGUCUGUGUCGCACCAUCCAAUUAUAAGCGCCUUUGGUGUCUUUGUUUCUGAGAGUUGGUAAUGCCACUUUCUCCUUCAGUCUUUAUAGUGUUCAUGCAAGUCCUGUUGUCCUUUGAGGUCGUUGAUCAUUGCAAGCUAUUCACAAGUUUGGGAAGGGAGCCAGUGGAAGAACUUCUGGUGGUCGUUACUCAACCAAGAUAUGUUAUUGACGGGUGUCGCUUUCAUUUUCUAGUUUAUUGGGUCAGUUUCGGCAUGUCGCUUUCAUGUUUUGAUACCUCUGUUUUGUUAUUAAGACUUCUGUAGAUCCAUAUCGCAGUUGGUAUGCACAAAAGUUGCCAUUACCUUCCCCGGGGUUAUGUUUAUCCUUGGGUUUAUUGGAGGUAGAUGGUGGCUGAUUUGGUCUUUUAAAUAGUAAGUUUGAACUGCUAUGUUAAUUUCUUAGUUUUUGGCAUUCCCAGUAGUCACAGUGUUGUCUGGCGGAUUUCUGAACAGAAACUGGUCCUUGUUCUUGGUGAUGUACUGUGGCUUGUCAUAAUUUGUACUAGUUUUUUUCUUUGGACACCUUGGAUGGUCAUUGUUAUGGAAUCCACAUCCCUUGGGAGUA